rnacentral:rRNA from 1 species
GAGGACGACCAGCCACACUGGCACUGAGAUACGGGCCAGACUCCUACGGGAGGCAGCAGUGAGGAAUAUUGCGCAAUGGGGGAAACCCUGACGCAGCAACGCCGCGUGUGGGAAGAAGGCCUUCGGGUCGUAAACCACUUUUGCACGGGACGAAAAAGGGAUAUCGAACAAAUAUCCCCGAUGACGGUACCGUGAGAAUAAGCCACGGCUAACUCUGUGCCAGCAGCCGCGGUAAGACAGAGGUGGCAAGCGUUGUUCGGAAUUACUGGGCGUAAAGAGUCUGUAGGUGGUUUGUCAAGUCUUUGGUGAAAGGCCGUAGCUUAACUAUGGGAAUG